rnacentral:lncRNA from 1 species
CUGGUCCUGCCAUAAGGAGCUAUACAUUCAAGUCGAUAUAACUAUGCACAACUUAUCUUUCUCGUCUGGUACAAAUUAUUAUCCCCUUACCUAACUUUUAUUUCAUUUUUCUUAUGUUUCCUGCGAACUCGGAAAAUCCUUCUUCCGUUCAGUAGCCUAAACGUUAACCUGUCAGGGAAAACACUUAGUGACGGGUUAAUAUGAAGAGUUGAUAGAAAAUAGAAAAAAUAUUUGACACAACUUGUUCCGGAGGUAUUAUUUCUCCUCGUCUUUUUCUCGGCCAUUUCCUGGUUAGUAAAUAUUUAACGGUUUUUCUGUGGUGUGCCCAUGGGCACACACUAAGCGCUAACUUUCAUGAGUAUGAUGCAUUUUUAUUGGUCCUCCAAUCAUAAAUAUGGAUGGCCCCCUGCAUUUGCAUCAAGUCCACCAAUAAAAACCCACCAAACUCAUCAGUUUAUUGUGUGCCCUUGGGCACACAUUAGAAAGACCCAAUAUUUAAUAUGCAAAAAGAUAGAGUUACAUGGAAGAAAUAUGAAGUUAUUUUAGGUGCCAAGUAGUC